rnacentral:rRNA from 1 species
AAGCUCGUAGUUGAAUUUCGGGGUUAGUAGGUUGGUCAUGCCUCUGGUAUGUACUGGUCUCACUGAUUCCUCCUUCCUUAUGAACCGUAAUGCCAUUAAUUUGGUGUUGCGGGGAAUUUGGACUGUUACUUUGAAAAAAUUAGAGUGUUUAAAGCAAGCUAACGCUUGAAUACAUUAGCAUGGGAAUAAUGAAAUAGGACGUUCGAUCUUAUUUUGUUUGGUUUCUAGGUAUUGACGUAAUGAUUAAUAGGAUAGUUGG